GAUGAACGCUGGCGGCGUGCCUAAUACAUGCAAGUCGAGCGAACAGACGAGGAGCUUUCUCCUCUGACGUUAGCGGCUGACGGGUGAGUAACACGUGGAUAACCUACCUAUAAGACUGGGAUAACUUCGGGAAACCGGAGCUAAUACCGGAUAAUAUAUUGAACCGCAUGGUUCAAUAGUUAAAGACGGUUUUGCUGUCACUUAUAGAUGGAUCCGCGCCGCAUUAGCUAGUUGGUAAGGUACCGGCUUACCAAGGCAACGAUGCGUAGCCGACCUGAGAGGGUGAUCAGCCACACUGGAACUGAGAAACGGUCCCGACUCCUACGGGAGGCAGCAGUGGGGAAUAUUCCGCAAUGGGCGAAAGCCUGAAGGAGCCACGCCGCGUGGGUGAAGAAGGUCUUCGGGUCGUAAAACCCUGUUGUUGGGGAAGAAAAAAAGUGGAAGUAAAUAUGGCCGUCUUGACGGUACCCAAACAAAAAGCCCCGGCUAACUUCGUG
rnacentral:rRNA from 1 species